GCGGAAUCAGCCUGUUAUCCCCGGAGUACCUUUUAUCCGUUGAGCGAUGGCCCUUCCAUUCAGAACCACCGGAUCACUAUGACCUGCUUUCGCACCUGCUCGACUUGUCGGUCUCGCAGUCAAGCACGCUUAUGCCAUUGCACUAUCAGCACGAUUUCCGACCGUACCUAGCGUACCUUCGUACUCCUCCGUUACACUUUGGGAGGAGACCGCCCCAGUCAAACUGCCUACCAUGCACUGUCCCCGAUCCAGAUAAUGGACCUAGGUUAGAACCUCAAACACACCAGGGUGGUAUUUCAACGUUGGCUCCAUGAGAACUAGCGUCCUCACUUCAAAGCCUCCCACCUAUCCUACACAGAUCUGUUCAAAGUCCAAUACAAAGCUACAGUAAAGGUUCAUGGGGUCUUUCCGUCUUUCCGCGGGGAGAUUGCAUCAUCACAAACAUUUCAACUUCGCUGAGUCUCAGGAGGAGACAGUGUGGCCAUCGUUACGCCAUUCGUGCAGGUCGGAACUUACCCGACAAGGAAUUUCGCUACCUUAGGAUGGUUAUAGUUACCACCGCCGUUUACUGGGGCUUAAAUUCUCAGCUUCGCCAACAAAGUUGACUAACCGGUCCUCUUAACCUUCCAGCACCGGGCAGGCGUCAGUCCAUAUACAUCAACUUAACGUCUUCGCAUGGACCUGUGUUUUUGAUAAACAGUCGCUUCCCUCUAUUCUCUGCGACCCCACAACCCACCACCAGCGCAAAGACUGGUUUAAGUCGUGUGGUCCCCCUUCUUCCGAAGUUACGGGGGCAUUUUGCCGAGUUCCUUAACCACAGUUCACCCGCUCGCCUUAGUAUUUUCUACCUGACC
rnacentral:rRNA from 1 species